AUUGAACGCUGGCGGCAGGCCUAACACAUGCAAGUCGAACGAGUGGCGGACGGGUGAGUAAUGUCUGGGAAACUGCCUGAUGGAGGGGGAUAACUACUGGAAACGGUAGCUAAUACCGCAUACCAUCAGAUGUGCCCAGAUUGGAUUGUGUUGUGGGGGGGGUAACGGCUCACCAGGGCGACGAUCCCUAGCUGGUCUGAGAGGAAGACGUGCCACACUGGAACUGAGACACGGUCCAGACUCCUACGGGAGGCGGCAGUGGGGAAUAUUGCACAAUGGGCGAAAGCCUGAUGCAGCCAGGCCGCGUGUAUGAAGAAGGCCUUCGGGUUGUAAAGUACUUUCAGCGGGGAGGCGUUACCCGCAGAAGAAGCACCGGCUAACUCCGUGCCAGUAGCCGCGGUAAUAC
rnacentral:rRNA from 1 species